GUUUAUCCAUUCUCUCUCCUAUGUUUAUCCGUUCUCUCCCCUAUGUUUAUCGAUUAUAUUGGGUGGGCUUAAACUCUUCCCUGUGUUUAUCAAUUCAAUUUUUGGUUUUUUAAAUAUCGAAAUUGGUUUGAUUUUGGUUUUUCAAAAACCGAAAUUGGCCUGAUUUCGGUUUUUCAAAAAUUGAAAUUGACUUGAUUUCGGUUGUUGAAUAACAAAAAAUCCAUUGAAUUCAGUUGUUUAACAACUAAAAAAGGAAAAAUAUAUAGAAAGCAUACGCAGAGGACCUACGAGGCCUGAUAUCGGUUGUUCAACAACAGAAAAUCCAUUGAAUUCGGUUGUUUAACAACUGAAA
rnacentral:lncRNA from 1 species